GACGUAGGAGGCGAGCGCUGUCCGGAUUCAUUGGGCGUAAAGAGCACGCAGGCGGUUUGGCAAGUCGGAUGUGAAAACCCGAAGCUCAACUUCGGGCCUGCAUCCGAAACUGCCCGACUAGAGGUAGGUAGGGGAGAUCGGAAUUCCUGGUGUAGCGGUGAAAUGCGCAGAUAUCAGGAGGAACACCGGUGGCGAAGGCGGAUCUCUGGGCCUUACCUGACGCUCAGGUGCGAAAGCUAGGGGAGCGAACAGG
rnacentral:rRNA from 1 species